ensembl:lncRNA
UUAUGGACUCCACUACACUGCUGUCUGUGGUGGGCGGGGCUCUCCUCCUGUCAAUCAUCCUUGUAACCAGUCUUUGUACAUACUGCUGGGGACAUAGACAACCAACAUCCAUCCAUCAGAGGUCCAGUGACUCAGAAUACCCCCCAACGUAAGAAAUCAAAUCUUGUAUAGCCACUGUCUUACAGGAUCUUAUAAAUAUAUUCAUACAUUCAAUAUAUAUAUAUAUAUAUAUAUAUGCAUACAUUUUGUCACCUUAAUUAUAAGGUUCUAUUUGCCAUUUUUGUCCAAAUUGAGUCCUUCACAUAUUCUUAUUCUGUGACAACUUUACAUUGUGUAAAGUUUUUUUUUUUUUUUUUAAGUUGUAUACAUUUUGGUUCUGAUGUCCCCAUAUCCCACAUCAUUAUAUGGAAUGCAAAAACUUUGAAGCUCAAUAUCUCGAAACUGCUCAGAAUACAGACAGAACCUUUUAAUUCCAAGAUGACGAUAUUGUUUUAUAUGCGUGUUGGCUCAACAUUGUCUCUCUUCAUACAGAUCAGGUUUUGUGGUUCGGCAUCCCGUGUCGACAUAUGCGCCCCAUAUGGACCAUACCAGAAUUGUACCUUACCAACAUUCCAAGUGAGUUCACACACAGACCCAGAUAUACACACAGACUGUGUUGUUCUUCAGUGUGCUAAUAAACACUCUUUCCUCAGUUCUCUUGGUUCACCAUCUAUCACUGUCACAAAGGUGCACUCCUGUCCUCCCUCAGAAACUGGAAGUCAAGCCAGUUAUGUGAAUCAAAACGGUGAGGAGGGAAUCAACAUUCAUGACAAUCAUCAUGGUCAGAAAUCAAAUGGCUCAUUUUUGUAUCAUAAUUCUGAGUAG